CCCACUCUAUGGAAUCUACACUCAACAGUUUAUUCCUGCUGGUAUGUUUAAAGGACAGUGCAAUAGAAAUUCAAUAUCUGGCAUUGGUGGUUUUCUUGGCUCUGUGCAUGUCAUACUUCGGAUUUCUAUUGCUACAGUA
ensembl:snoRNA